rnacentral:lncRNA from 1 species
CAUUCAGUGUUUGGGUGAAGACGGAGGCGGGUUCUGGACAGACCUACGCUGUCGGGGAGUGUUUACUUCGCCUCCACUUCUGUUCCUCCCCGCCCUGGUGCUGCUCCAGGUCACAUACUCUUCCUGAGCCGGCUUCAGCCUCUCCGCGCAGAAGUCUCCCGGAGCCAUGGCCUAGUAUUCUUAUGUGAAGUCUACCAAGCUUGUGCUCAAGGGAACCGAGAUUUGCCUGAGGUUGACUGUACAUGCAAAUAUUGAGCUUUCCUCCUGGCCUCCGUGAUAAACAGAAGUUUUGAUAUUGUUAGGCGAGAUGGAAAGAAAGUAUCAAGGAGUGAGCUGAAGCCACUGCCCUUGAGAACCCUCUCGAGGAGUCUGGCCUCAUGAAGAUGCCAGAAUAAAUGGCAGUAAGAAGAAAAAGAGCAAAGAUAAGAAGAGAAAAAGAGAAGAUGAAGAAACCCAGCUUGAUAUGUUGAGGAACGCAGCUGCUCACCAGCAACGGAACAAAGCUGGACGGAGAAUGACUUUGAAGAGCUGAGAGAAGGCUUCAGACGAUCAAAUUACUCUGAGCUACGGGAGGACAUUCAAACCAAAGGCAAAGAAGUUGAAAACUUUGAAAAAAAUAAAUGUACAUUAAUUAACGUGGAAUCUGGUGAACAGUAACAAACUUUGGUGAAAUUUCAGGAACCAUAGCCAUUGAAGUGGAUGAGGGAACCUAUAUACAUGCACUCAACAAUGGUCUUUUUACCCUGGGAGCUCCACACAAAGAAGAAUCGCCCUGAAACCUGGCUAUGGAAAAUAUCUUAGUAUAAAUUCAGAUGAACUUGUUGUUGGCGUUCAGAUGCAAUUGGACCAAGAGAACAAUGGGAACCAGUCUUUCAAAAUGGUGCCUGUGCAGCAGUAUUCACUGUGAUAGGAAGUGAGAAGCAGUCUGAGUGUUCAUUGCUGAGGGAAUCAAGGGCAAAAUAUCAUGGAUGCACUCAUGGACAAAUAAGCAGCAGUUUGAAGCAACACCCUAGAUGGAUGUACAGCCAUCAAGAGGAUCUUAAAGUGUGGUCUUUAGUGGAAAAAAAGG